rnacentral:tRNA from 1 species
GAAGGGUGGCCGAGUGGUUAAAGGCAACAGACUGUAAAUCUGUCGACGUUAGUCUACGAAAGUUCGAAUCUUUCCCCUUCC